GAUGAACGCUGGCGGCGUGCCUAAUACAUGCAAGUCGAGCGAAUGGAUUAAGAGCUUGCUCUUAUGAAGUUAGCGGCGGACGGGUGAGUAACACGUGGGUAACCUGCCCAUAAGACUGGGAUAACUCCGGGAAACCGGGGCUAAUACCGGAUAACAUUUUGAACCGCAUGGUUCGAAAUUGAAAGGCGGCUUCGGCUGUCACUUAUGGAUGGACCCGCGUCGCAUUAGCUAGUUGGUGAGGUAACGGCGCACCAAGGCAACGAUGCGUAGCCGACCUGAGAGGGUGAGCGGCCACACUGGGACUGAGAAACGGCCCAGACUCCUACGGGAGGCAGCAGUAGGGAAUCUUCCGCAAUGGACGAAAGUCUGACGGAGCAACGCCGCGUGAGUGAUGAAGGCUUUCGGGUCGUAAAACUCUGUUGUUAGGGAAGAACAAGUGCUAGUUGAAUAAGCUGGCACCUUGACGGUACCUAACCAGAAAGCCACGGCUAACUACGUGCCAGCCGCCGCUGUAA
rnacentral:rRNA from 1 species